UGGCUUUUUAGUGAUUUUUUGGCUUUUAGGCUAAAAUUGUUGUGGGGUGCCAAGCUAUUGUGUGUUUUGGCCCACAAACCACUUGGGGGUUGUGUGGUUAUUUCCAUAUGACAAGUGGUUUCUCAACAUAUAGGUCAAAUCAUAAGGGGGUAAAGUAAAAUUUACCCUAGAAAUUUUGUUGAACCUAAUGUAGUUUUUCUUGAAGAAGAUACAUGGAAUUAAUUUGUUGUAGUUUUACUUGUCAAUGCAAACAUUAGGUCUCCUUUUUAUUUUACUUUUUUUGCUAUCUCUUUGCCUCCAUCUUCAAGAGCACUGAGAUUUAUUUUUUUGGGGAUAGGGGUGAUUAUUUGAACAAUCAUGAUGUCGAUGUUAAUGCAAGAUUCAUGGAUGCAUAUCCUGCUGGAUCAGAUGAGUAGAGCAUUUGGAAGGGAAGGACAAAAAAGAAGGGUGUAGUCUCAUCAACAAAAAAGGUUAGUAGAAGCUGAGCAAAGCAUUAGUUGGAGAUUUAUACCAGCUUGGGGGUUAACUUGCUUUCAACCAUUAUCAGUGUCCAAGCUAUUUGUAUAAUUUUCUUGCAAUGUGUGUGUGUGUGUGUGUGUGUGUUUUUUUUUUUGUGCUACAGUUUUUUUCCAAUAAGGCUCGGAAGUUGAUUAGGCAAAAAUAGCAUGGACGUGAAUGAAGUUUGAGCAGGGUAUCGGCCCAACUAUUAGUCUUAAAAGUGGUUGGCAACUUUGGUUUGUCUUUGCUUUUUAUGUGUGGUGGUUUGCUUUUGUUUAUGUUGUGUUACUUGGUUCAUAAAAUAAUUCACUAGAUUUGUGAAGUUACCCUUUUCUUAUGACUGUUUUGAGAUCUAUUUGGGAUGCUCAACUUUCUAGUUUAAUAUUUUUAGAUAACAGUUUUGACUGUCA